AUGCUAACACACAUUGCUGCCUCUCCUAUACAUCUGUAUGUGCAAAUCAAAGAGGAGUUAUUGAAGCCAGGAUAUGGCCAGCAGAGCAACAUCCUACUGCCAGCCCUGGAGACACUGUCAAGUGGAUGUGGCUCUGGAGAUUUGAACACAUGGACCAGUGAUGGCUAGCUCUCCUGGCACCUUGGGGGAAAGGCCUAGAAGCUGGCCUCCUGUAUAUUCCUGGAAUAACAGCAAAGUGGCCCCCAAAGAUCACAGUGGUGUACCCAAAACAUCCAGGAGAAGAGAAGAAAGGCCACCAGAAAUGGAAAUUGAGUGCAGACAGGAGAAAGGAAAGCAGGAAAAGACUUGGGCCUCUGAUGGAAGCCCACCCAACCCUACCAAGGGAAGGAGUCCCAUCUUGGAGUGAGGGGAGUCAGUUCCUGGGGUCCAAGUGGCUUCGACAAUCAUCAUCUCAUAAAACCGAAACAGAAAGGGAAGUUGAACUUCAGGAUUCAACUAGGGUUUCUGUGGGCCUUCUCUUCAGGUACUGGCUGGGUUCCAUGUCCAAAUCCCCUCAAGAGAACAAGUUGACUUUGGGAAGCCUGAGGCUACACGCUUCCUACUUGUACCCAGAAGAAGCAGGGUAGCUCCUGCCUAGGUCAUCUAGCAGAAGUCAUGGUUUCCCUUUGAUCAGAUCCACUCAGAUUAUACACCAGCUCCUAAACUAAACUGAAGAAGAAGGGGUUGCUCUGACCAACUGAGGAAGAUCUGUCUACACCUGGAGUGGGGACUGGGCUUAAACCUACUGAGAUAUCCUGGAAGAGGGAUGAAAAUGGGCUUACAGAUGCCACAUAUACUGCAUUGCAGAGUGAAGCAUCUCAGUUUGCAAAGAAUGUCAUCCUUGAGGAAGAAAUCAAAACAGAACUCUUUAUUUACCAGAAUGAACAACAAGAGUGUGCCUGAGGUUUACGUACAGUUUUGCAUCUGAGAGAUUUGGUAUCCCCUUGAGCAACUGCAGAAACUGUUCAACUGGGAGAAAGGAUUUUUGUUGUGUAAACUUUGGCAGAAUUAUGAUACUGGAACUGUGGUUUUUCAGUGGGGACAUAAGAAGCAAAUACCAUUACAUAAUAUUUAGCUACCAAUUCUCUGUUUUAUACUUAAUUAAAUGAUUUGUAAUUUAUUCUAUAGUAGAGUUGAUGCCAAAACUCAAGUUAAGGAAAAACAAACUGUUGUGUAACUCAAAUUGGAGAACCCUUAUUUGACCAAGACUGAAUUUCCCUCCGAUUAGCCUUGUGGGAUGGGUGCUUAAAGUCUGAUAUGAAUUGAUUUUCUUAAAAUUAAGCAUGAUGCUUUCCUUAUUCACAAGAGCUUUCAUACAAAUGUAUGAAUUAAAGAAGAAUGAAGUUUUUUUUAUCUCUGUUCUUACCCUCUAGCCUAAGAAGUCAAAUGUUAGUAGUGCCUCCAUGCUCAUUUAUGUAUCCCUGAUCCUAGGGGUAACCAUUAUUCUGAAUUUUGUAUUAAUGACUCUUUUACCACAAAAAUUUAUCUCCAAGCAAAAUAUGACUUAGUUUUGCAUGUUUUUGCACUUUCUAGAAAUGGAGUAAUAUAGUAACUAUUUCCAUUCAGCUUUAUCUUUCUGGGGUUCAAUCAUGAUAUUGCUGCUGGUGUGAGUGUGACACAAUUUAAUUUUCAAUACUUCUAGUAAUGGAGACUUAGGUUAUUGUGUGACUUUAGCUAUUAGGAGCAACGGUUCUAUGAAUACUCUCAUACAUGUCUUUCAGUGCUCACAUGUAGAAGCUGCUCCACAUUAUACACUUAGGAAUGUGUUCAUGAUCAACAUUUCUAGGUAAUUCUCAAUUCUUUUCCACACUGAUUUUAUGAAUCCAUAGCCCUGAUAGCAGUGUAUGAGAACUCCCAUGAAUUUACCUCCUUAGAAGCAUUUGUGAUGGUCAAACUUUUAAUCUGCUGAAAUAUGCUAGGUUUUAAGUAACUUUUACUGUGGUUUUUCAUAUUUCACUAUGAUUUUCAUAGAUUAUUUAAGCUUAGUAAGUUAACUACCAAUAAAUUCUUACAAAAAAUAAAUUCUAAAAGUUGCACUGUUGUUAAAAAAAAAAGGGCAAGUCUAAACGCAGGAAGGAAUAGUGAACAAAGAUAUAGAUAACUAUGUAAGUAAAAAAUUCUAGGUUGAUAGCUAGAUUAGCUAUCUUCUGCUCUGUCUUGUUGAUGAGGAAUCAGCUGUCCAAUUCCUUUAACAAUAACAGCUAGUAUAUAUCCAUGCUACACACUCCUUCCAGAAAAUGUAUGUGCAUUUUCUUUUUUUUUUCUUUUUGGUAGGCUAGAAACAAAAUUUUAUUUUGUCGCCUUUGCGUUUGGCCACUUUGGCCCAGUCUAGUUGUCUGCCUGAAAACAGUUUAUUAGAAUUUUUGAAAAACAAUUUUUUAUUAACGUAUUAUUGAUAUACACUCUUAUGAAGGUUUCACAUGAAAAACAUUGUGGUUACUACAUUCACCCAUAUUAUCAAGUCC